AAAAAAGUACUGUAUCGCUUAUUGUGUGCAUUCCUAUGACUGUCCAUACUCUUGACUUACUUUCUAUUCAUGUGUUUACAUUGAUAACAUAUAUGCAAGGAACAACUGCCGUCAAACUGAAGUAGGUGCCUAUACAUAACCAAUAACACGAGAAUUGAUUCUAAAGCAAUGAAUCCCAAAUAUUGCAUGUGUAAUAUACACAUAAAAUAAAAUAAGGCCAUUGUAUACAAGUUUCAAAACAACAUAAACAAUUUUUCGAAACUUUUUUUGAACAUGGUAUAAUAUGUAACAAAUGCAGUCAAC
rnacentral:lncRNA from 1 species